UACAGAGGUGUCAAGCGUUGCUCGGUAUCACUGGGCUUAAAGGGCGCGUAGGCUGUGCGGUACGUUUCGGGUGAAAUCCCUCGGCUCAACCGAGGAACUGCCCGGGCGACGGCCGCGCUGGACUGCAUUAGGGGACGAUGGAACUCCCGGUGGAGCGGUGAAAUGCGUAGAUAUCGGGAGGAACGCCGGUGGCGAAAGCGAUCGUCUGGAGUGCAUGUGACGCUGAGGCGCGAAAGCUAGGGGAGCAAACGGG
rnacentral:rRNA from 1 species